ACUCCUACGGGAGGCAGCAGUAGGGAAUCUUCCGCAAUGGACGAAAGUCUGACGGAGCAACGCCGCGUGAGUGAUGAAGGCUUUCGGGUCGUAAAACUCUGUUGUUAGGGAAGAACAAGUGCAAGUUGAAUAAGCUGGCACCUUGACGGUACCUAACCAGAAAGCCACGGCUAACUACGUGCCAGCAGCCGCGGUAAUACGUAGGUGGCAAGCGUUAUCCGGAAUUAUUGGGCGUAAAGCGCGCGCAGGUGGUUUCUUAAGUCUGAUGUGAAAGCCCACGGCUCAACCGUGGAGGGUCAUUGGAAACUGGGAGACUUGAGUGCAGAAGAGGAAAGUGGAAUUCCAUGUGUAGCGGUGAAAUGCGUAGAGAUAUGGAGGAACACCAGUGGCGAAGGCGACUUUCUGGUCUGUAACUGACACUGAGGCGCGAAAGCGUGGGGAGCAAACAGGAUUAGAUACCCUGGUAGUCCACGCCGUAAACGAUGAGUGCUAAGUGUUAGAGGGUUUCCGCCCUUUAGUGCUGAAGUUAACGCAUUAAGCACUCCGCCUGGGGAGUACGGCGGCAAGGCUGAAACUCAAAGGAAAUGACGGGGGCCCCCACAAGCGGUGGAGCAUGUGG
rnacentral:rRNA from 1 species